rnacentral:rRNA from 1 species
AACGAACGCUGGCGGCAGGCUUAACACAUGCAAGUCGAGCGCCCCGCAAGGGGAGCGGCAGACGGGUGAGUAACGCGUGGGAAUCUACCCAUCUCUACGGAAUAACGCAUGGAAACGGGUGCUAAUACCGUAUACGUCCUUCGGGAGAAAGAUUUAUCGGAGAUGGAUGAGCCCGCGUUGGAUUAGCUAGUUGGUGGGGUAAAGGCCUACCAAGGCGACGAUCCAUAGCUGGUCUGAGAGGAUGAUCAGCCACACUUGGACUGAGACACGGCCCAGACUCCUACGGGAGGCAGCAGUGGGGAAUAUUGGACAAUGGGCGCAAGCCUGAUCCAGCCAUGCCGCGUGAGUGAUGAAGGCCCUAGGGUUGUAAAGCUCUUUCACCGGUGAAGAUAAUGACGGUAACCGGAGAAGAAGCCCCGGCUAACUUCGUGCCAGCCGCCGCAGUAACAC